rnacentral:rRNA from 1 species
CGCCUAACACAUGCAAGUCGAACGAAGUAGCAAUACUUAGUGGCAGACGGGUGAGUAACAUGUGGGUAUCUGCCCUUUGGCCUGGAAUAACACGAGGAAACUUGUGCUAAUACCGGAUAAGUCUUUACGGAGAAAGCUUUAUGCACCAAUGGAUGAGCCCGCACUUGAUUAGUUUGUUGGUGGGGUAAUGGCCUACCAAGACUGUGAUCAAUAGCUGAUUUGAGAGGAUGAUCAGCCACAUUGGGACUGAGACACGGCCCAAACUCCUACGGGAGGCAGCAGUGGGGAAUCUUGCACAAUGGAGGAAACUCUGAUGCAGCGAUGCCGCGUGAGUGAAGAAGGCCUUUGGGUUGUAAAGCUCUUUCGUCGGGGAAGAAAAUGACUGUACCCGAAUAAGAAGGUCCGGCUAACUUCGUGCCAGCAGCCGCGGUAAUACGAAGGGACCUAGCGUAGUUCGGAAUUACUGGGCUUAAAGAGUUCGUAGGUGGUUGAAAAAGUUGGUGGUGAAAUCCCAGAGCUUAACUCUGGAACUGCCAUCAAAACUUUUCAGCUAGAGUUUGAUAGAGGAAAGCAGAAUUUCUAGUGUAGAGGUGAAAUUCGUAGAUAUUAGAAAGAAUACCAAUUGCGAAGGCAGCUUUCUGGAUCAUUACUGACACUGAGGAACGAAAGCAUGGGUAGCGAAGAGGAUUAGAUACCCUCGUAGUCCAUGCCGUAAACGAUGUGUGUUAGACGUUGGAAAUUUAUUUUCAGUGUCGCAGCGAAAGCGAUAAACACACCGCCUGGGGAGUACGACCGCAAGGUUAAAACUCAAAUGAAUUGACGGGGACCCGCACAAGUAGUGGAGCAUGUGGUUUAAUUCGAAGAUACGCGCAGAACCUUACCAACACUUGACAUGUUCGUCGCGACUUUAAGAGAUUAAAGUUUUCGGUUCGGCCGGACGAAACACAGGUGCUGCAUGGCUGUCGUCAGCUCGUGUCGUGAGAUGUUGGGUUAAGUCCCGCAACGAGCGCAACCCUCACUUUUAGUUGCCAUCAUUAAGUUGGGCACUCUGAAAGAACUGCCAGUGAUAAGCUGGAGGAAGGUGGGGAUGACGUCAAGUCCUCAUGGCCCUUACGUGUUGGGCUACACACGUGCUACAAUGGUAUCUACAACAGGAAGCAAGACGGCGACGUUAAGCAAAUCCUUAAAAGAUACCUCAGUUCGGAUUGCACUCUGCAACUCGAGUGCAUGAAGCUGGAAUUACUAGUAAUCGUGGAUCAGCGUGCCACGGUGAAUGCGUUCCCGGGUCUUGUACACACCGCCCGUCACACCAUGGGAGUUGGUUCUACCUUAAGGCAAGGUUUUAAACCCUUGACCACGGUAUAGUCAGCGACU